rnacentral:rRNA from 1 species
UACAGGGGGUGCAAACGUUGCUCGGAAUCAUUGGGCGUAAAAGCGCACGUAGGCGGUCUGUUAUGUCGGAUGUGAAAGCCCUUGGCUUAACUGAGGAAGUGCAUCCGAAACUGGCAGGCUAGAGUACUAAAGAGGGUCGCGGAAUUCCCGGUGUAGAGGUGAAAUUCGUAGAUAUCGGGAGGAACACCGGUGGCGAAGGCGGCGACCUGGGUAGAUACUGACGCUGAGGUGCGAAAGCGGUGGGGAGCAAACAGG